AACGCACGAGACCUGCGGACCUGCGGAGGGAUCAUUAUAGAGUGGUAAACCCCCCGUAAAAGGGGGGGACCUCCUGUCCUUUGUAGGCUCUUUUUUAAAAGGGCUUUUUUUAAUUUUCUGCUUCGGUGGGGUUAUCCCACCGGAACAACCUCAAAACUCUUAUCAAAAAAUCGUUCUGUCUGAGAACCUUUUAUAAUAAAAAAAAACUUUCAGCAACGGAUCUCUAGAUCGGAAGAGCAC
rnacentral:misc_RNA from 1 species